rnacentral:snRNA from 1 species
ACACAAACCUGGCAAAUACCAGGAUCACAAAGGUGGUUUUCUUCAGGCCAAGAAGUGCAUGCUUGUCUCCAUUGCUGACCCUGCAGUUUCCCCAAAUGUGGGAAACUCGACUACAUAAUUUGUGGUGGUUGAAGACCUCAUUCACGCUUUCUCCUA